rnacentral:rRNA from 1 species
GGGGCUGGGAUGUUAAGAGGGUGAAUGUCUAGUACAGCCGCUAGACGGCGAAACCGCGAAUGGCUCAAUAAAUCAGUUAUGGUUCCUUAGAUCCACUCCAUCCUACUUGGAUAACUGUGGUAAUUCUAGAGCUAAUACAUGCACUCGAGCCUCGACUGCGCCCGCUUCGCGGUGGGUGCAGAAGAGGUGCUUUUAUUAGAUCAAAACCAGUCGGGGCGAGCGGCGGGCAACCGUCGCGCGACCCGUACCAAUUUUGGUGACUCUGGAUAACUUCACGCCGAUCGCAUGGCCUUCGAGCCGGCGACGUAUCUUUCAAAUGUCUGCCUUAUCAACUGUCGAUGGUAGGUUACGCGCCUACCAUGGUUGCUACGGGUAACGGGGAAUCGGGGUUCGAUUCCGGAGAGGGAGCCUGAGAAACGGCUACCACAUCCAAGGAACGCAGCAGGCGCGCAAAUUACCCACUCCCGGCACGGGGAUGUAGUGACAAACUAUAACGAUACGCGGACUCUUCCGAGGCCCCGUGAUUGGAAUGAAAACACUUUAAAUCCUUUAACGAGGAACCAUUGGAGGGCAAGUCUGGUGCCAUCAUCCUCGGUCACUCCAACUCCAAUACCCUAUAUUAAACAUCUCCUCGAAUUAAUAUCAUCCUAUUCAGACUGUCUUUUCUUGCAGCUCGUCGGCGACCGCACAUGAAUCUCACGGUGGGGGGGAAUUUGGGGU